rnacentral:tRNA from 1 species
AGCUUUGUAGUUAAAUUAUAACAUUUUAUUUGCAUUAAAAAAUUGAUUCAAUCCUUAGUUA